CCAUAAAAUAGCCGUUGUAAUUUUUCCCCCAAAAAAAAAAAAAAUAGCCGUUUGCAUUUCAAAAUUGAAGUUCUCUCCCUUCCUAUAGCCGUUGCCUAAGCUCCUCUCUAAUUUUCACACUCUCUUCUUCUUCUUCUUCUUCUUCUUCUUCUUCAACCUCUCUCUGCAUCCUCCUCCUCUAGUCUUCUCCUCCGUUGAGUGAGAAUGCAGAGGCAGCGUCACAGGCGUAAAAACUAAGGUAAAAGUUUUUAUCACGCACACCAUCUGUUUUUCUUUUGGUUUAGUCAUUUAUUUCAAUAUGGAAUCUGCGUUAAAUUCCUUUUUUCUUUUUUUUUUCGGUUUUCUUGGAUGGUCUCGGCAUGUGGUGGAUAAGGAAUUCCAUUCCGUGUCUCGGAGUUGCUCGUUUAUCGAAAACAGAGCCUGAGUUUCUGAGACGUUGAUUGCCUUGGUACAGGUUUUCGUCACGAUGUGGACAGAGGAAAAAGGGAUUUGGGAAACAAUCAUCAGGAUCUUCUUUUUGAUGUUUUUCACCAAAGGAUUGUAUCGAUUAUGCAUGACUAGACAUGAAACUGGAAAAGAAGUACAUUUCUUCAUUUAACUCCACCGCAUAAUAUGGGAAAGCUUCUUCAAAUGAUUCUUUGUAUAUUUACGUUUCCUGCUAGUGUUUAGGUUAUUGUGUAGGUAGGGGUUCUGCAUGGUUGUAUAAGGAAAUGUAGUACCGUCUUGCACUGUUGUUGUUGUUGUUGUAGUUGUAGUGAUGGGAUGUGGUUGUUGUUGUACAAGGAGGGAUUCAGAUUGUUGUACAAGGAUGAAGGAUGAGUAAAAAUGGAUGAAUUUUUUUGGUUUGGGAGAGAAAAGACCGCUUGGGUGUGCUUGUGUGC